CCUAAAGUUGGUUUAGAAAAGUAAGUUGAAGUGAUUUGUUAAAGUAUAUAGGUAACUUUUGUAAUUUUAAAAAGUGACGUUGCAUCAUGUAAAGGGGCAUUUUUCUGGAUCAGACCGGUCUUCAGCAAAUCACAUUUUGGGUAUACAAUGACGGAUUUAAUCGGGAAAAAGACCCAAUUGUGAUGUUUAUGUGACAUAUAGGAGUGCCAAGAAAGAAGCUCGUCAAAGGCCUGAGUGAAGGAUGUUGGUGCUCACCUUGACUUCCAGAUAACAAUUAAUUAAAUGAUCCAUGAUUGGCUGAUAUACUGGAGGGUUUGGACAUGCCGAGAGAUUCUGUAACGCUCGUCGUUGGAAUGAGGUGAGGACCAAAGCGCAGCGUGGAAAUCUGCCGUUACAUGAUCACCUUCACCUGAGAGAAACAUUGGUCAAAUCUCACCUGAUUGGGUCUGCUGGAUGAUUAGGACUUCUCCCUAAGGAUUAGCCCUCUAACUUCCCGACUCUGCGAUGAGGUCGACAGUGUGAUAGGGAAGUAUAAGCCAAUUAGAAUUUUUUUUUUUUUUAAUUUCUCUUAGAAAUUUGUAUUAGGAACAUUGGUAGUAGUAAUAAUGUGUCAUACAGUAAAUAAUUUGUCUGGAUUUCUUGAAAUGCCUUAACAAAAUUGUUGUUCUGAUCUGUCCUUUCUCGAGGUUAUGGGGAAAGUGACCACAGAUGGUGUCUAGAUACAUGACGGAUAAUUUGACCAAGAACUGA
ensembl:lncRNA